rnacentral:lncRNA from 1 species
ACUGUGGGCUAGCGCCACUUAAACAGUAUUUACAGCCAAGUUUGAGUGAAAAAAAUGAUUUCCAUUGUGUAAUUGGAUGAACAAUAUCCCUCUGUCCCUUUGUCUUUUCUGUCAGCGUAGUAUUUACUCUCACGGACAAUUAAUGAGUAAAAAAACACAACAUGCUACGACACCCGCAGUGGCGCUUAUGGCCUCUAGGGGCACGAGUUACUUAGUACUGCUUUAAAUUUUGUACUUUUUUUGUCCUUUAUUUAUCCAGGAUAAAACUCGAGUGUCCCUAAUAUGAGGCCUUUCACACCAGGGCUGCACAAAAGUUGAAAAAGUUUCCCAAUUUCAAUGUGCUUUUAAAUAUCAAUUUUUCCCAUCACUCCUGUUUACUUAAAUAGAUAAGUCUUGCUGUGACUUGUAUAAACCCUGCAGUAGCGAUCUUGAUUGGAUUGUGCAGCUCUAAUAAAGAACUAAAGUGUCCAAAUACUUGUGGGUCUGACUAUAUAUGACGGUCACUAUAGUUUCUUGAUGUUUACAGAGAUCAUGCUGCCCUGCGAGUUCUGCGAGGAGCUCUUUCCAGAAGACGAUCUCAUCUUGCACCAGACUGGCUGCAGUCCGGCCUCCGCCUUCGCCUCGUUCAGUAAACAGACCUCGUCUCUGCCCAGAGAGGACGGCACGGCCCGGGACGGCCCCAGAUUCGUGUUCAAAAGCCCCAGUCAGCCCAGUCAGCCCAGCCGUAUGACCUCCAUGUUCUCCUCAUUCCCCCAGUACCCCCGGCCUCUGUCCCCAGCUCCUACAGCCCCCCGGCCAGCCCACUAGAGGGAGACAUACUCAUCCCUGUGAGUUCUGCGGAGUGGCCCUGGAGGAGGCUGUGGUGUUCCACCAUCAGGAUAAGUGCGACAUGCGCCCCCAGACCUCGCUCCAGCUGAACAACAUGACAACAUCUACAAAAGAACUCAACUCGUCUAAAGACAUACCGGCCCAGACGUCUCCAGACUUCACACGGAGGAUAAAACACCAAGGGGACGUCUCAGAAGAGAUGUUCCGAUUAGACGAGGACAGAUCGACGGAGCUCGGCAUGUGGCCUCAGCAGCCGCUCAAUAGUGACCGGCCUUUUGAAGACGCUGAAGGAGCGUCUCAAAGAGGGCGAGCUGAAGGUAACGAGGCCCGAGGCAACAGACGGAAUCACGUCACAAAGUUGCCCAAGAAGCAGAACGAAGAUCCACAAGACGAGUGAGGAGGGAAGAAAACAUGCCAAAUCCUCUACGAACCCGUAUAAAGCCACACUGCGGAACAUACCGGGCCACCAGAUCAACUAUAAAACAAUGACCGGGGUUUGGCGACGCGUGCUGAGAGAGUGAACUUCUGUAUUUUACCAAUAAAAUAACCGCUAUAAUGAAAUGAAUGCUUGUAUUUUAUUCACAAAGUUGCGCGGUGUGGCUUUAAGUCUCUAACACAUCAUAAGUAAGUGCCUGCAUUAUUGUCCUGCAGUUAGUUCGGACAUGGAAUCAUCAAACUUAUCAGACUAGUUGUUUUUUUUCUCCCAUUGUUUGACAUGUUUCUCUGUUUACCGUCUAAUCUAAACUACAGUGUAUGUAUCUUAUUUACUCACAUUAUCUUUUCAAAGGCUUCCUGAAACGUGUCCACUGAAGCACUUUUAUCAGUUAUUUUAUCAAAAAAAGGGCUUGUUUGACAGAAAUGAUGACAAUGAUUUGAUGUUAUUGACUAAAAGCUUAGCGAUGAUCUUCCUUCUUUUUUUUUUAUACUGUCUUUUACUUAUUCUUAUUUUCAAAUCUUUGUAACUGUUGACAUGUGAUAAAAUAACAUUUAAGGUGUGUCUUGUUUUUUUGGUUUGUUUUCAAAUUAGAAAUAAAAUAUUGUAACUUCAACGGCUCGGGUAAAGGAUCUGGGAAGUGUUUUUGGAGAUUUGGGAUGAUUUAAUGGUGUUUAAUAUAAUGUGUUUAAUGAGAGUGUUCCGGUUUAUGGCCUGUUCCCCGAAUCCAUCACAUCAAUCCUAAAAUGUUUUUGAAACUACUCAUUUUCACUAAAUUUAGCUCUGGUGGUUAUAGUAGUGUUCAGGAUGAG